UACAGAGGUCCCAAGCGUUGUUCGGAUUUAUUGGGCGUAAAGGGCGCGUAGGCGGCGGGGUAAGUCGGGUGUGAAAUCUCGGAGCUUAACUCCGAAACUGCAUUCGAUACUGCCGUGCUUGAGGACUGGAGAGGAGACUGGAAUUUACGGUGUAGCGGUGAAAUGCGUAGAUAUCGUAAGGAAGACCAGUGGCGAAGGCGGGUCUCUGGACAGUUCCUGACGCUGAGGCACGAAGGCCAGGGGAGCAAACGGG
rnacentral:rRNA from 1 species